GAUGAACGCUGGCGGCGUGCCUAAUACAUGCAAGUCGAACGCACAGCGAAAGGUGCUUGCACCUUUCAGUGAGUGGCGAACGGGUGAGUAACACGUGGACAACCUGCCUCAAGGCUGGGGAUAACAUUUGGAAACAGAUGCUAAUACCGAAUAAAACUUAGUGUCGCAUGACACAAAGUUAAAAGGCGCUUCGGCGUCACCUAGAGAUGGAUCCGCGGUGCAUUAGUUAGUUGGUGGGGUAAAGGCCUACCAAGACAAUGAUGCAUAGCCGAGUUGAGAGACUGAUCGGCCACAUUGGGACUGAGACACGGCCCAAACUCCUACGGGAGGCUGCAGUAGGGAAUCUUCCACAAUGGGCGAAAGCCUGAUGGAGCAACGCCGCGUGUGUGAUGAAGGCUUUCGGGUCGUAAAGCACUGUUGUAUGGGAAGAACAGCUAGAAUAGGAAAUGAUUUUAGUUUGACGGUACCAUACCAGAAAGGGACGGCUAAAUACGUGCCAGCAGCCGCGGUAAUACGUAUGUCCCGAGCGUUAUCCGGAUUUAUUGGGCGUAAAGCGAGCGCAGACGGUUUAUUAAGUCUGAUGUGAAAGCCCGGAGCUCAACUCCGGAAUGGCAUUGGAAACUGGUUAACUUGAGUGCAGUAGAGGUAAGUGGAACUCCAUGUGUAGCGGUGGAAUGCGUAGAUAUAUGGAAGAACACCAGUGGCGAAGGCGGCUUACUGGACUGCAACUGACGUUGAGGCUCGAAAGUGUGGGUAGCAAACAGGAU
rnacentral:rRNA from 1 species